GAUCCGUAACUUUGGGAAAAGGAUUGGAUCUAAGGGUUGGGUCUGUCGGGCUGGGACUUGAAGCGUGAGGAUUCGGCGUGGACUGAGAGAGAUGCGUGACUCGCUGCGCGUUGAAGUCGGACUGCGAAGGGACUUCCGUGGAUUGGCUCAGCUGUGACCGUCAGGUCGAUUCGGCAGGCGAUUAACAACCAACUUGGAAUUGGAAC